rnacentral:rRNA from 2 species
GAGUUUGAUCCUGGCUCAGGAUGAACGCUGGCGGCGUGCCUAAUACAUGCAAGUCGAGCGAACGGACGAGAAGCUUGCUUCUCUGAUGUUAGCGGCGGACGGGUGAGUAACACGUGGAUAACCUACCUAUAAGACUGGGAUAACUUCGGGAAACCGGAGCUAAUACCGGAUAAUAUUUUGAACCGCAUGGUUCAAAAGUGAAAGACGGUCUUGCUGUCACUUAUAGAUGGAUCCGCGCUGCAUUAGCUAGUUGGUAAGGUAACGGCUUACCAAGGCAACGAUGCAUAGCCGACCUGAGAGGGUGAUCGGCCACACUGGAACUGAGACACGGUCCAGACUCCUACGGGAGGCAGCAGUAGGGAAUCUUCCGCAAUGGGCGAAAGCCUGACGGAGCAACGCCGCGUGAGUGAUGAAGGUCUUCGGAUCGUAAAACUCUGUUAUUAGGGAAGAACAUAUGUGUAAGUAACUGUGCACAUCUUGACGGUACCUAAUCAGAAAGCCACGGCUAACUACGUGCCAGCAGCCGCGGUAAUACGUAGGUGGCAAGCGUUAUCCGGAAUUAUUGGGCGUAAAGCGCGCGUAGGCGGUUUUUUAAGUCUGAUGUGAAAGCCCACGGCUCAACCGUGGAGGGUCAUUGGAAACUGGAAAACUUGAGUGCAGAAGAGGAAAGUGGAAUUCCAUGUGUAGCGGUGAAAUGCGCAGAGAUAUGGAGGAACACCAGUGGCGAAGGCGACUUUCUGGUCUGUAACUGACGCUGAUGUGCGAAAGCGUGGGGAUCAAACAGGAUUAGAUACCCUGGUAGUCCACGCCGUAAACGAUGAGUGCUAAGUGUUAGGGGGUUUCCGCCCCUUAGUGCUGCAGCUAACGCAUUAAGCACUCCGCCUGGGGAGUACGACCGCAAGGUUGAAACUCAAAGGAAUUGACGGGGACCCGCACAAGCGGUGGAGCAUGUGGUUUAAUUCGAAGCAACGCGAAGAACCUUACCAAAUCUUGACAUCCUUUGACAACUCUAGAGAUAGAGCCUUCCCCUUCGGGGGACAAAGUGACAGGUGGUGCAUGGUUGUCGUCAGCUCGUGUCGUGAGAUGUUGGGUUAAGUCCCGCAACGAGCGCAACCCUUAAGCUUAGUUGCCAUCAUUAAGUUGGGCACUCUAAGUUGACUGCCGGUGACAAACCGGAGGAAGGUGGGGAUGACGUCAAAUCAUCAUGCCCCUUAUGAUUUGGGCUACACACGUGCUACAAUGGACAAUACAAAGGGUAGCGAAACCGCGAGGUCAAGCAAAUCCCAUAAAGUUGUUCUCAGUUCGGAUUGUAGUCUGCAACUCGACUACAUGAAGCUGGAAUCGCUAGUAAUCGUAGAUCAGCAUGCUACGGUGAAUACGUUCCCGGGUCUUGUACACACCGCCCGUCACACCACGAGAGUUUGUAACACCCGAAGCCGGUGGAGUAACCUUUUAGGAGCUAGCCGUCGAAGGUGGGACAAAUGAUUGGGGUGAAGUCGUAACAAGGUAGCCGUAUCGGAAGGUGCGGCUGGAUCACC